AGCUGCGCCGUGUCGGGUGUGCGGAAACGUCCCCGGAAGUUCUGCUAUAGAGACUUUGACAACACGUAGCGCAGCUUC
rnacentral:sRNA from 12 species